GACGAACGCUGGCGGCGUGCUUAACACAUGCAAGUCGAACGGAAAGGCCCUGCUUUUGUGGGGUGCUCGAGUGGCGAACGGGUGAGUAACACGUGAGUAACCUGCCCUUGACUUUGGGAUAACUUCAGGAAACUGGGGCUAAUACCGGAUAGGAGCUCCUGCUGCAUGGUGGGGGUUGGAAAGUUUCGGCGGUGGGGGAUGGACUCGCGGCUUAUCAGCUUGUUGGUGGGGUAGUGGCUUACCAAGGCUUUGACGGGUAGCCGGCCUGAGAGGGUGACCGGCAACAUUGGGACUGCGAUACGGCCCAGAAUCCUACGGGAGGGAGCAGUGGGGAAUAUUGCACAAUGGGCGGAAGCCUGAUGCAGCAACGCCGCGUGCGGGAUGACGGCCUUCGGGUUGUAAACCGCUUUCGCCUGUGACGAAGCGUGAGUGACGGUAAUGGGUAAAGAAGCACCGGCUAACUACGUG
rnacentral:rRNA from 1 species